rnacentral:rRNA from 1 species
UACGUAGGGGGCAAGCGUUGUUCGGAAUUACUGGGCGUAAAGGGCGCGUAGGCGGCACGGCAAGUCAGGAGUGAAAGGCCUGGGCUCAACCUGGGAAUUGCUUUUGAAACUGCCGAGCUAGAGUGCGGAAGGGGCAACUGGAAUUCCCAGUGUAGCGGUGAAAUGCGUAGAUAUUGGGAAGAACACCUGAGGCGAAGGCGGGUUGCUGGGCCGACACUGACGCUGAUGCGCGAAAGCCAGGGGAGCGAACGGG